GCUGGGGAGGCGGCGGGGGCGGAUCGGGAGCCGGGGGGGGGACCGGAGGGUGGGAAAUGGAGGCGGCCUCCAGGCAGGGUGAACAGGGGGUCCAACCCCGAGUGCCCCCACCACACCUCAGCCACGCCGAGCGGAGCUCUGGCGCGGCCCGCGGGGGUGGCCGGUGGGGGGAGGCGGCCGCGGGAACCUCUGUGUGCUCCCCCUACCAACUGCCCCCAAAAGCCCGGGGCUCCGGAGCCCCUCGGGCCGCACUGCGCCGCUCCUGUCGCCGGUUCCCGCUGCCCCUCCGCUGCCGACUCGGUGAGCCCCCCCGGAAAGUCGCUUGCUUUUAAUGCAGAAAAGAGCUCCAGGCCUGAUCUCGGGCCGUUCCCCUCCCGACACCCCGUACCCGGGACCGAGACCAGGGGGUGGGAAGCGGCUCGGGGGCGGCUCGGCUGUGCGCUUCGGCCCGGCUGCGGUGCUCGCGGGGUGAUGGCUGCGGGCAGCCGGGGGCCGCGCUCUGCUCAGCCCCAGCCCGGCGGCUGCUGAUCGCCUGCGGACGGUAAAGCACCACCACCCCCCUCCAACUGGGAGGGGCUGAAAAAAUUAAAAAAUAAAGUACAAUUUUAAAAUAUUUAAAAAAAAAAAAGAGGGGUUAUUUCUUUCUUCCUGUGCAGAUGGGAGGAAUGCGGCCUCUCGGUUGGCCCCGGCGCCGAGAGGGUUAAGGCUCCCACACCCCUCCUCUUCCAUGAGGUAUCUGCCCGAAGCCCCAGCGCAUCCAUCCGGGGGCUGCGAAAGGCACCGAAAUAUCGCAGCCCGACCCUGGGAAAUAUAGAGAUGGCGGAGAAUUUCCCCGUACAACUUGGUCACCGAGGCCAACCUAAAGCUCUCAGUGCUGCCAGAGGACAAAUCUCUGGGGCCAGCAGUCCGAUCCCAGCACCUCGAUGCCUUCGGGGCUCCGGGCAGUCCCCCCGGCAGCCUCGUCCCUUCUGCACGUCGGGGAAAAGCUCAUUUCUCUGCACCCACAGGGAUGGGACACUGCAAAACCCUCCAGAGACGGCCUCCGUGGGGAGCAGAACGAGCUGGGAACGUUUUUUUUUUAACAAAAGGGCUCUUCUCCGUCUUUAGGGCGUGGGAGGUUUUUGCAGCGCCGUUUUAUUUUAGCUUAGAAUGUUGAACAAACUUCAGAUUGAUUUCCGGAAAGCGCAAAUGCUCACACAUGGGAAAAGUGAAUAAACUGGUCCUUCGAGGUCACCCGAGAGGGGGAGACGGGAUCUGUACCCCCUUCCAAAAUAACAUAAAAUAAAGUAACAGAAGGGGAAAGAUCUUAUGCUUUUAUAGUUCAAAACUACUUUGAAUGAUUUGUUUUUAAUGGCACACGUGGCUGCAGAAAAGAGGCUCUGCUUUCGAUCUCGCGCUUGCUCCUCGUUUUUCUUGUAGGUGUGCGCGGACAUACGUGUGCUUUGCAGCCCCCACCUGAUGGCUCUCCCCGUCACCCCACCCUCCCCGGACCCGCAGCACGUCGCAGGCCACGCUCUCCCGUCGCCGUGUCCUCUGCCGGGAUCCAGAAGCACGGGCACAGCCGACUCCUACCCCGGCGCUUCUCCGGAGCAGCAGGGGUGUUGUGAACACUUAUUAAACCCAGAUGAUCUGAGAGUUGGGGCAUACGGAAAAGAUUUUCAAUUAAAGCCGAGAGCAGCCAGCUUCGCGUCGCAGGUGUAAACAAUAUUUGUGCAGCUCUCGCUUCUCAUCCCGGAGCGGAUCCUUCCCCUCGCUGCAUCCCGCAGGGAGGAGAAGGGAAGGGGCCGCUUCUCUCUCCGGGCCCCACUCGCACCUCGCCGGGCUCCCCACAUCGCUCAGUGCACACCCGGGCGGGUCUGUGCCCUGCAGCCCCCGGCCCCGAAUCUCCUCCCCUCCGCUCACCUGUUGCUGCAGCCGCUUCCGUAAGGGCAGGGACUAAAAGGAAAAUUCAAUAGCUCCGGUCUAGGAAAGCGGCGGCGGUGUAAAGUGUUGCGGUGACACGGGAGGUGGGUUGGGACGGCACGCGGGGACAGUGGGCAUCACCGCAGGCUGCUGGGUACGCGCUCCCGCUUGGAAGAAGUGCUU
ensembl:lncRNA